rnacentral:lncRNA from 1 species
AGAGGGAAGCAGUUAACCAAGAAAUCACCAUGUUAUUGCACCUAUCCCAUAACCUUUGUUGAGCCACAUUAAUGGCUGGUCGGGAGCAUGUGCCAUCGACAAAACUAAUUUUGUUUUUAGCAGAUAAUGCAACAAUUAUUUUUCUCCUCCAACCCCCAUAACCACUUCCUGAGAAAGGACUGGGGACAAGAGAUACCCCAGGGACAUCAGAGGAGUAUACAAAGAGGGGGCUGGUAGAGUCUACCGAGGAGGAGGAGGUACCAGCAUUCGUAUUAGAAGCCAUAAUCAAUGAACCGGCUUAAAAAACAGUUUCUACAAGUAGAAUAUAACCAAACCAGAUAUUCACACACAAAACCAGAUACUCACAUACGGAGUCAGAUAAUCAUACACAAAGCAUAUAAUACUCAAGAUAAGAGAGUUACCCUCCUUCUUCGCGACCGGAGAAGAUCGGCCUUCAAACAAUCAGAGAAAACUCUAGGUGCAACCGUCAGAAAUCUUACUGGAAAAUGGUCAGGGAUGUCGGAAAGUCACCCAAAAGCAUCCACUGAGUGAAGAUCAAGCCACCGGAUAGCAGUCAAACCCUAGGUUCAACCACCAGAAACCCUAGAAGCUGAUAAGUCACCGAGAAAUCACCCAAAAAUCAUCGGAAAAUUUCCCAGAACGUUCGAGUAAAGAAGAUAUGCUCAGAUAUCACGAUGAGCGUCUCAGAAAACAUCCGAUUUAUAUCGGAAUCGUCAUCGACCGCAAACGUCAGAAACACCCCCAAAAAAUCUCAAAGAAUACUUCAGCCAAGAUAACAAGAUGCAGAAAAGCAUACUAGGAUCAUCAUCGAGGCUCUGAUACCAUGAAAACUUUGAGAUUAAACUGAGGAAUCAUGGAGAAUGUAGAGAGAGAACUUAGAGAGAAGGAGGAGAGUCUGAGAGAACUCUCUAGAAGAGAGAGAGUUUAUUAAUCAGAAAAUGAAACAAAUGAAAUCCGUCUCUAAAAAUAUCUCCCUACCUAACCUUUAUACCAGUUCUAUAAAUCAGAAAAUGAAACAAAU